UCUCCAAGCCCAGGUGUGAUCCGAUUCUUCCAGUGCACCAAGCUUUCCCUUCAGUCAUCAAACUGACUAACAGUAGAAGGAAAACCAGGCUUUUGAUUUUGGACAAACUCAUAUACGGAGAGAACCACUUUCAAAAACACAGUUAAAAGAGCCUAUUGAUAACUCCUCUGGGAGUUAGUCUUUAUACAUCCAUCUGUGGGACACGCACAGGCAGAAUUGUGGAAUAUCACCUCAAAAAAGAAAAAUAAGAAAGCAAGAUCAGGAGAAAUGAGACUGGAGCAGAACUGUCAUGCACUGAUCAUCUCUGUGUGGAAUGCAAAAAUGGAUAUGGAUAUUAAACUCCAGGAGAUGUUAUUUGGGAAAGGUGACUGCAAGAAGUCAAGCUAUUCAGAGACUAUACCUGAUCAUGAACAUUGUUCUACCUGUAAUCGUGCUGAGAGAAUAAUAUACUGGUGAGGGUGUGAGGGUGAAAGUAUUAUCACAUUUGCAAAGUAUAAUGCAAUUUCUCUCUCAUGGAGUAAAACUCUCCCUCUCUCUC
rnacentral:lncRNA from 1 species